rnacentral:rRNA from 1 species
UACGUAGGGUCCAAGCGUUGUCCGGAUUCAUUGGGCGUAAAGAGCUCGUAGGCGGUUUCGUAAGUCGGAUGUGAAAACUCAGGGCUCAACCCGGAGACGCCAUCCGAUACUGCGAUGACUUGAGUCUGGUAGGGGAUCACGGAAUACCUGGUGUAGCGGUGAAAUGCGUAGAUAUCGGAAGGAACAUCAGUGGCGAAAGCGGCUUCCUGGUCCAGCACCGACGUUCAGGCACGAAAGCGUGGGGAGCAAACAGG